rnacentral:siRNA from 1 species
AACUAACGCCGUAGCCUCCGGCUC